CAAAUUACUUGCCUUGCCCCGGGUGCUGACAACCCACGCUACGCCGCUGGUGAAACACAAGAGCAGUCAAGUACAACAUUUCUAGAGUGAACAUGUUUACACAUGGGGAGGAAUGUUUGUCCAGCCAGCAGGUAAACUUCCUGUUUCCUUCUGGGCUGGGACAGACUUCCUCUGCAUGUGACUAGAGGUGGGCGUGGCCUCACCUGUGUAGGUAGCAACAAAAGUACAGGACAGGACAGCCAUCUCUCUCUCUCUAUGACUAUUUUCGUAGAAGAAGCAACAUCUGCUUAGCCAAAUAUGCUCUCUUGGUCUCCAGCCAAGAGAGGACAAAGGGAGUGUCUCCUUAUGAGAUAGUUUCCAGGUGUAUGUAACUUUUCUAAGUUAAGUCUGCCUUCUGGGAUCUGAUUGUGAACAAAAUGUGAGUAAACUCUUUUUAUACUUUUAUAGAAGACUGUGUCGUGUCUUAUCUUUUAUGAGGGAAUAAGGGGAUGCAGGUGGUGCGGUGGGUUAAACCACAGAGCCUAGGACUUGCCUAGGACAGAAGGUCAGUGGUUCGAAUCCCCGUGAUGGGGUGAGCUCCCAUUGCUCAGUCCCUGCUCCUGCCAACCUACCAGUUCGAAAGCACGUCAAAGUGCAAGUAGAUAAAUAGGUACCCCUCCGGCGGGAGGGUAAACGGCGUUUCCGUGCACUGCUCUGGUUUGCCAGAAGCGGCUUUUCAUGCUGGCCACAUGACCCGGAAGCUGUACGCCAGCUCCCUCGGCCAAUAAAUCAAUCAAUUUCUUUAUUCGACCGAUAGUCAGAAUUAAAACAUUACACAAUAAUUAUAAACUAUAACAUCAUAAGUUACAUAAGGUACAUAAGUAAGGUAGAGCCACGGUACUAGAUCUCUCACAGAUAACCCACGUCAAAGCAUUCAAUUAUACGUUUCCGACACUUGAGUGCCAGGAAAAGAAAUUUAGCCACUGACAAGGUUGUUUUCCCAGAAGACUUAUUUAGCAGAUAUGCUGUCUGCUUUCCUCUUUGUCGGGAACUGAGCUGGGGUAAGUAUGGAGUUAUAAGAUACUGUCUUAAAUCGUUGUAGAAGGGACAGCUCAAUAAAAUGUGCUCUGUGGAUUCUACCUCACCCAAUGCACAGUGGCAUAAUCUCUGGUCAUAUGGGACUCCUCCAUAUCUUCCCUUCAGGACCGCCGAGUCAAGAACAUUCAGCCUAGCCGCAGUAAAUAGUCUGCGGUAUUCCACGUAGUGGAUAUCCGCCAGGUAGCGAGCUGGGGCAGCCCGAUACAACUGCUCCCCAGAAACAACCCAGGUUUCACACGGGCUAUGUCCUCCUGUCUGGCAAUAUCCCUUAAUCUUUGCGCGAUCACCGCCUUUGCGUGGCUAUACGUCAUGGACUCUAUAUAAAGGGAGGACAACCCACACUUCUGCACUUCCUCCACUAUCUCCCUUUCCCAUGGAGAUUUAAAGUUAUCCCUCAGAAUCAAGGGGGCCAAACCCACCGGUCUGAAACAGAGCUUGAGCCAUAGCCAUAACUUCGCUUUCAGGGCCACAUACCUAAAGGCUUGACAACCAGUUUCCAGCCUCAUGAUCGCACCUGCCACAGAGGGGGGGAUCCUGAGUAUGGCCCUGAGGAAUUGGGUUUGGAUAGAUUCCAAUUUUCAAAAUCCCUACGUGAGCCCAAGGCAAUGCCCACCAGCAGAAGAGGGAGGACUUUCAUUUUAAAGAGACGUAAGGCAACAUUGACAGUUUGUGCCUGUUUCUUGGAGUACAGGGUUCUAAUCAUCAGGGCUGCUUUGGAUGCGUUCGAGGCUAUGUAUUCUCUGUGCGCCAGGAAGGACCUAUUUGAUCUUACAACCUGACCCAGGUACUUGAAGCAACUGACCUGCUCUAAAGGAAUACCAUUAAUUGACCAUAAAUUAGGUUUCGGUCGAGCAGCAAAGACCAUUAUUUUGGUCUUGGCAUAAUUUAAUUGGAGCUCGUGUUGGGUCUCAUAUUCAUGAAGAGCUCGAAGCAUCCUCCUUAAUCCGAUGGGGAGGUAGCUAAUAGGGCGGCAUCGUCCGCAUACAGUAGGACAUUCAAGGCUCGUCCUGCCAGUUUUGGUGGAUGGAAAUCAGCAUUUGCCAUAUGCACCACUAGCGAAUUUAUAUAGAAGUUAAACAGAGCAGGGGCAAGCAAACAGCCCUGUCUUACCCCCCUAGUGGUGGCAACCGGGUUGGAGACUAGCCCCUUACUAUCUAUCCUAAUCCUCAAGAGGGUAUUUGUAUGCAAAUUAAUAAUCAGCAAGAGAAGGCGGCGGUCGAUAGAUGUCGCUGCCAAUUUUGUCCAUAGCUGGUUCCUGGGAAUUAGAUCAAAGGCCUGCUUAAAGUCUAUAAAGGCGACGUGGAGGGCUUUUAGGCCAUUGCCAGCGUACUUGGUGGCCAAAUGAUUUAGGAUUAAGAUUUGGUCUGUUGUUGAUCUUCCGGGGCGGAAACCCGCCUGUUCCUCCCUCGGCCAAUAAAGCGAGAUGAGCGCCGCAACCCCAGAGUCGGUCACGACUGGACCUAAUGGUCAGGGGUCCCUUUACCUUUACUACCAGAACAGUUAUUAUAGAGGCUUUAGCGAGCCUGAGCAAAUGUAUCUGCUGUGAGUUUAAAAAGGGGAAUGUUAUUGGUAUGAGCUUUCGUGUGCAUGCAAACUAAUUAUAUUUCUAUACCACCCUUAAUCUGAAGAUCAUAGGGCAGUUUACAGUUAAGGACUAGAUGGGCAAUUGACCUUAUCCAGCAGGAUCUUCUUAUGUUCAACCUGUACAAUUCGACCCUGACACAAUGAGCAUCUGCUUUCAUCAAAGCAAGUCCCAGGCUCAAUCGCCAGGAUCUCCAGGGAGAGCUGAGAGAGACCCAGGUUUGGGACCCUGGGAAGUCACUGCCAGACAGUGCAGAAUACAAUGAGCUACAAUGUACCAGUGGCCUGACUUCAGUGUAAGACAGGUUCCUAUGCAGAGACUCCCACCCCUUUGAAUGAUUGUGCUAUAAAGUGCCCUGUACAUUGAUGAUGCUACACUUAGAUGGAGCCCUGACCCACAACUGCUAGACUCAAUGGAAGUUUUGUUCUCAUAGGUUGUAAUGAAUCCCUGCUUCCUGGUUCCCUUAAAAUCCAUAAGGACUUCCAGCUAAUUUUCUUCUUCUCCCAAUGAAUGUUUAAUUUCAUAUUCAAUUAAGAACACUCAGCUUUUGUGAUCUAGGAAGAACUAUUGGGUUUUUACAGUCUCAGGGCAAAACCCUUAUUUUGUGAGAUUUCCAGUUGAAAUCAGUACAGUGGUACCUCAGAUUACAUACGCUUCAGGUUACAUAUGCUUCAGGUUACAGACUCCGCUAACCCGGAAGUAGUACCUCAGGUUAAGAACUUUGCUUCAGGAUGAGAACAGAAAUCGUGCUCCAGGGGCGCGGCGGCAUCUGGAGGCCCCAUUAGCUAAAGUGGUGCUUCAGGUUAAGAACAGUUUCAGGUUAAGAACAGACCUCCGGAACGAAUUAAGUACUUAACCUGAGGUACCGCUGUAAUCCAUGAUUGCCAGACAGGCACAUGAGGGGCUGAUGCUCAUAGAGUUCCUUGAACAAUAUAGAAGGGACUGUAUGAGGUUACUUCCUUAAUGCUUUGGUGGGAAUUUCUAACAAAGGAAAUAAUCUUAUGUACUUCCUGCCUGCCUGAACUCUCCCUUUCUUUCAAGACAGCAGAUGUACCCACCUACCUGGGCUUUGCUUAGAGUCCAGACUCCAUUUUGGAAACUAAUUUUGUAUUCUGUACCUAAGAAGCAUUUUUACCUGAAUAUUACUUAGAAGUAUUAGCUUUCUUCAUUUAAGGCAAGUAAACCUUUUUAUUUUUACUAAAAUGUGUGCUUUAUUUUUAGCAAUGGGGACAAACAGGGAAAAGGUCAGCAGACCACUAAUAAACAGGGAUUAAAAGGUGUAAUUGUCUAAUUCCAGUGCUUUUCUUUCUUAAAAAAAUGUUUAGGGGUACUCUCAUUUUGACUCAAGAAAAUCACCAUUUUAUAGUUCAAAUCGGGGGAAAUAAAUACAGUAAAUGGACAAAAGUAUGAAGAUUCACAAAAUGUUUAGGGGUAUGCGUCCCUCCAGAAAAAAGCACUGCCUAAUUCCUAGCUUCGAGUAAGCUGCAGAAGCUUGUGAGUGUUUUCACUCUGCUGAAAAGGGCUUCACAACCUGAUUAUAGUGGUACCUCGGGUUAAGUACUUAAUUCGUUCCGGAGGUCCGUUCUUAACCUGAAACUGUUCUUAACCUGAAGCACCACUUUCGCUAAUGGGGCCUCCUGCUGCCGCUGCACUGCUGGAGCACGAUUUCUGUUCUCAUCCUGAAGCAAAGUUCUUAACCUGAGGUAAUAUUUCUGGGUUAGUGGAGUCUUUAACCUGAAGCAUAUGCAACCUGAAGCCACUGUACUCUCAAAUUUCUCCCACACACAUUGGACAAGAGGUUUAAAUUGUAAUUUACAGAUUCAAUCCUCAAUCUAACUGCAUCAUAUAUUUUUAAAAUAAUGAUUAACAAGAUAAGAUUAUAAGAAUAUAAUAGCAAGAUAAGAAUAUAAGAAGAGCUUGCUGGGUCAGGCCAAUGAUGCAUCUAGUCCAGCGUCCUGUUUUCACAGUGGCCACUGGAUUGGAGCACAAGAGCAGUCACCCCUCCUGUGGUUUCCAGCAACUGAUACUCAAAAGCAUUACUGCCUCCAUACUCCAGACUUCCCACUUCACUUGGACUGGGAGAGUUCUGAUUUCUGAACUUCAUAAUUUUUUAUGAAGACCAUAGGAAGAAUUAUGCUGAAUCAGACCACAGUUCCUCUCCAUCUCUAGACAAACUCUUGCCAAGGGGAGAACGUAGGAAUAUAGCAAUAGUUCUCCUGGAUCUGGCCAGUGGUCCAUCUUUUUCUCACAGUGGUCAGAAUUCCCCUCACAUUGUUCUUCUCUUUGUUCCCCUUAUUUUGACUUGGUUGCUUAAAUGCAGGGGAUUUCUCUCAUCCUCUAACAAUGGAACAAUGGGUCCAUGUGGACACCAGGAAACUCAAACAGAAAAAAAAUAAAAUUGUUUAGGUAAUCCUUCAAAAGUUACUUGAAAUCUUCAAAAACCCAGAAACUCCAGCGGGUGCAGAAUGCUGCGGCGAGACUCCUUACGGUGUCUUCGCCGCGGGAUCACAUUCAUUCAGUGCUAUACCAGAUGCACUGGCUCCCAGUGGAGUACAGGGUCAGGUUUAAGGUGCUGGUUUUAACCUUUAAAGCCCUUCACGGCCUAGGACCCUCAUACCUAUGGGACCGCCUCUCCUGAUACGCCCCAUGGAAGAUCUUAUGGUCUACAAAUAAUAACACCUUAGAGAGAUCCCGGGCCUCAGAUUAGGCGGCCUCGACCAGGGCCAGGGCCUUUUCAGCCUUGGCCCCUGCCUGGUGGAACGCUCUGCCACAAGAGAUCAGGGCCCUGCGGGAUUUGACAUCUUUCCACAGGGCCUACAAGACGGAGUUGUUCCGCCAGGCCUUUGGUCAGGGCUCAGCCUGACUCCCCUUUUCUUUUUGUAUGAGAACUAAUAUGAAAGAGGCCUCCCAGCAUACUCACAGAGCCAUAUAAGAUCAGCAUAAACAGUUGAGCCUAUAAGCACCUACUGUUCCCAAAACUAGCUCUGCGGAAAGCCAUCUAAUUAGACUUUAAUUUGCUUUUGACCUGUUUUUAGGAGGUAAUUUAAUUAUUGUUUGAUUUUAUACUAAUGUUAUAUAUUUGAUGUUAGCCACCCUGAGCCCGACUUCAGCCGGGGAGGGCGGGAUAUAAAUAAAAGUUGUUUGUUAUUAUUAUUAUUAAAAAAGUACUCUCAGGGAUUUUACUCUGGGCCCAUAACCUUUAUGUGGAAAAACAGAUUGAGGAUUAAUUUUGUAGAUUAAUCUUAUUUCAUGUGUGGGGUAGAAAUAUAAAAGUAAUCUGGAUGUGAAGCAUUUUAGCAGAGUAAAACAUAAUUUUGGGGGUUUAUUAAAGCUUAGGAAUUAGGCAAUUAUCCCCUUCUAUAUAUGUAAUCAGUUGACCUUCCCCUCUUCAACUCCAUCGCAGAGAAUGAACCACAUGUUUUUAGUAAGAUAAACAGGAAAGGUGUUUACUUACAUUUCAAUGCAGGCAGCAAAUACAGCAGUGUGCAAAAACAAACAAACCACGUUAUAAAUUACAAUAAAAUAAAUUAGUAGUGUUAGCUAACAUGGCUGAAAGCAGGAUCUCCUCACAGGCAGAAGGAAAUAUAAAGAAUUGUCUCCUUUGUUACAGAAUUCCCACCCAGUGGAGGCAAAGGAAGUGACAACAUACAGAGGGUCCACUCCAGGAAGUUCAAAAACUCUGUGUACUAACCCUGUUCCUGUCUAGUAAAACAUGCAUUUGUGAUUUUGGCAGCAAACCCCACAGUUUCCACCACAUGCUAUUUUGAGCAUUUUCUUCCACUUCAUGGCAGAAAUGGUAGGAACAGAGAAGUUCUCACACUGGGCGAAAGAUUUCUGCAUUGCUGGGGAUUGGACUAGACAACCCUCAUGGUCCCUUCCAAUUCUUUUGAUUCUAUGAGAAAGAAAGAAAGAAAGAAAGAAAGAAAGAAAGAAAGAAAGAAAGAAUCAUGCUGAGCCUUGGCUUGGGUCAAAUUUAGGUUUAAGGAAGAAAUCACAGAGUUUUUGUUGUUUAGUCGUGUCC